CCCUUAGAUGUUCUGGGCUGCACGCGCGCUACACUGAUGCUUUCAUCGAGUAUAUAACCUUACCAGACAUGGUUGGGUAAUCUUUUGAAACAGCAUCGUGAUGGGGAUAGAUUAUUGUAAUUAUUAGUCUUCAACGAGGAAUUCCUAGUAAGCGCGAAUCAUCAGUUCGUGCUGAUUACGUCCCUGCCCUUUGUACACACCGCCCGUCGCUCCUACCGAUUGAGUAAUCCGGUGAAUAAUUCGGACCGAUUGCGAUGUCAGUUCCUGACGCCGCAGACGGAAAGUCUAGUGAACCUUAUUACUUAGAGGAAGGAGAAGUCGUAACA
rnacentral:rRNA from 1 species